rnacentral:rRNA from 1 species
UACGAAGGGGGCUAGCGUUGCUCGGAAUCACUGGGCGUAAAGGGCGCGUAGGCGGCCGAUUAAGUCGGGGGUGAAAGCCUGUGGCUCAACCACAGAAUUGCCUUCGAUACUGGUUGGCUUGAGACCGGAAGAGGACAGCGGAACUGCGAGUGUAGAGGUGAAAUUCGUAGAUAUUCGCAAGAACACCAGUGGCGAAGGCGGCUGUCUGGUCCGGUUCUGACGCUGAGGCGCGAAAGCGUGGGGAGCAAAC